rnacentral:rRNA from 1 species
CCUACGGGAGGCAGCAGUGAGGAAUAUUGGUCAAUGGGCGGAAGCCUGAACCAGCCAAGUAGCGUGCGGGAUGAAGGCCCUACGGGUCGUAAACCGCUUUUUCACGGGGAUAACACCCUCCACUUGUGGAGGUCUGCAGGUACCGUGCGAAUAAGGGCCGGCUAAUUCCGUGCCAGCAGCCGCGGGAAUACGGAAGGCCCGGUCGUUAUCCGGAUUCAUUGGGCUUAAGGGGAGCGUAGGCGGACGUGUAAGUCAGCGGUAAAAUCGCGCGGCUCAACCGCGCCCCGCAUUUGAAACUGGACACCUUGAGUGCAAAACAGGCGGGCGGAAGUCGAGGUGUAGCGGUGAAAUGCAUAGAUAUCACGAGGAACCCCGAUUGCGAAGGCAGCCUGCCGGGGUGCGACUGACGCUGAGGCUCGAAGGUGCGGGUAUCAAACAGGAUUAGAUACCCGUGUAGUC